UGAUUUCCUUCGGGACUGAUUAUUUUGUGACUGAGUGGCGGACGGGUGAGUAACGCGUGGGUAACCUGCCUUGUACAGGGGGAUAACAGUUGGAAACGGCUGCUAAUACCGCAUAAGCGCACGGCAUCGCAUGAUGCAGUGUGAAAAACUCCGGUGGUAUAAGAUGGACCCGCGUUGGAUUAGCUAGUUGGUGAGGUAACGGCCCACCAAGGCGACGAUCCAUAGCCGACCUGAGAGGGUGACCGGCCACAUUGGGACUGAGACACGGCCCAAACUCCUACGGGAGGCAGCAGUGGGGAAUAUUGCACAAUGGGCGAAAGCCUGAUGCAGCGACGCCGCGUGAGCGAAGAAGUAUUUCGGUAUGUAAAGCUCUAUCAGCAGGGAAGAUAAUGACGGUACCUGACUAAGAAGCACCGGCUAAAUACGUGCCAGCAGCCGCGGUAAUACGUAUGGUGUAAGCGUUAUCCGGAUUUACUGGGUGUAAAGGGAGCGCAGGCGGUGCGGCAAGUCUGAUGUGAAAGCCCAGGGCUCAACCCCGGUACUGCAUUGGAAACUGUCGUACUAGAGUGUCGGAGGGGUAAGCGGAAUUCCUAGUGUAGCGGUGAAAUGCGUAGAUAUUAGGAGGAACACCAGUGGCGAAGGCG
rnacentral:rRNA from 1 species